AUGGUCCACAAACAAAAUCCUGCCUGCUGGCUUUUUUUUUUGUUUCGUAAAUACAGUUUUAUUGGAACACAGCCACACCCAUUCAUUCAUUUACUCAUUGCCUAUGGCUGCCUUCACAUCAUAGAGUUGGGUUGUUGCCACAGAGACUAUAGCCCUCAAAGCCUAAAAUAUUUACUAUCCGGCCCCUCACAAAACAAUUUGCUGACCAUUGGUCCAGGAGGUUGGAAGGGCGAAGUCCUUCAGAAUCGGGGAAAUGUUGGAGGAUCACCAAGAUGUGGGGAGAGAGGGAAGCUAUUGUUCCACCACAUUCCAUUCCUGUUAAAUCAACUUGAUAUACGCAAUAAAUUAAGUCUGCACUGCAGGAUGGACGGAAGAGGAGAACUGGAAGGAAGAUGGCCAUGGAAAUGAGCCCCACAGCCCCUCUCCUCCUCACCUCACUCUCCUUAUCUCCAUCCAGAGCUUUCCUACAGCUAUCCUCACCUCUGCCGGCCUCUUGAGAAAGGCCAACUUCUAGCAUUCAUCUCUGGCCAAGAAAACAGUUCCUUCUACUUCCCAUAAAAAGCUAUUUAAGGGUUUUCCCACAGAAUAGUUCACAGGCCCCAGAGACACAAUUCUUCCCUAUACACCACAAUAUGCCAGCAUGAGUGGCUUGGGUUAGAGACCAUCAGGGUAUUAUACCUGGAGCCAUGCUCUCUCUGACAUUCCAGCCACUGUAUUCUGGAUAAUCUCCAGAUGUCUUUCCUCUGGGUGAUUUCACUUAAGUCCCUCCUGUGCCUCCCUCCAGUAUGGCUUCCUUUAGGAAUCCAAUCCAUUCCACAGCCCAACUUUAUUGAUGAGCCUCAUUCUGCUUUCCUCCCAGAAACAACUCAAGGAUGUGGCUGGGAAUCUUUUUCACUGUCUCUAAUGGCCCAUGACAAUUAAGUUCCCUCUGCCCCUCUGUGUCUUCUGUCACUGAUGGAGGUUGGCCUUCUCAGAGCAUACAGAGAACGUAGAUGAGCAAUACUCCCUUUCUCCACAAGCCAGACAUAUCUUUCUACUGCCUUUUGAAUCAGAUUUUUAAAAAUGAGUUUUUCUAUUUUGUAUUAAAUACACCAUUCACAUGCAUAUGUGUACAUCUCUAAGUAACAAAAAAAAAAUUUUAUCAUAAGUAGCUUUUCUGGGAUAUAGAACAACCCAAACCUCUAUUACAUUCCCUUAAGAACAAAUAACCAAUAGAAUAUUUAUUCAUCCAUUUAACAAAUGGAUGAAUAAUUUUUUGCCUUACAAUGUAGAUAUUGCA
ensembl:lncRNA